rnacentral:rRNA from 1 species
GAUGAACGCUGGCGGCGUGCCUAAUACAUGCAAGUCGAGCGAACGGACGAGAAGCUUGCUUCUCUGAUGUUAGCGGCGGACGGGUGAGUAACACGUGGAUAACCUACCUAUAAGACUGGGAUAACUUCGGGAAACCGUAGCUAAUACCGGAUAAUAUUUUGAACCGCAUGGUUCAAAAGUGAAAGACGGUCUUGCUGUCACUUAUAGAUGGAUCCGCGCUGCAUUAGCUAGUUGGUAAGGUAACGGCUUACCAAGGCAACGAUGCAUAGCCGACCUGAGAGGGUGAUCGGCCACACUGGAACUGAGACACGGUCCAGACGCCUACGAGAGGCAGCAGUAGGGAAUCUUCCGCAAUGGGCGAAAGCCUGACGGAGCAACGCCGCGUGAGAGAUGAAGGUCUUCGGAUCGUAAAACUCUGUUAUUAGGGAAGAACAUAUGUGUAAGUAACUGUGCACAGCGUGACGGUACCUAAUCAGAAAGCCACGGCUAACUACGUG